GCAGUAGCCGCGGUAAUACAGAGGGUGCGAGCGUUAAUCGGAUUUACUGGGCGUAAAGCGUGCGUAGGCGGCUUCUUAAGUCGGAUGUGAAAUCCCUGAGCUUAACUUAGGAAUUGCAUUCGAUACUGGGAAGCUAGAGUAUGGGAGAGGAUGGUAGAAUUCCAGGUGUAGCGGUGAAAUGCGUAGAGAUCUGGAGGAAUACCGAUGGCGAAGGCAGCCAUCUGGCCUAAUACUGACGCUGAGGUACGAAAGCAUGGGGAGCAAACAGGAUUAGAUACCCCUGUAGUCCCUGUCUCUUAUAC
rnacentral:rRNA from 1 species